rnacentral:rRNA from 1 species
CGCGUAGGCGGUUAUUUAAGUCAGAUGUGAAAAACCGAGGCUCAACCUCGGCCUUGCAUUUGAAACUGGAUGACUUGAGGAUGAGAGAGGAAAGUGGAAUUCCUAGUGUAGCGGUGAAAUGCGUAGAUAUUAGGAGGAACACCAGUGGCGAAGGCGACUUUCUGGCUCAUACCUGACGCUGAGGCACGAAAGCGUGGGGAGCAAACAGGAUUAGAUACCCUGGUAGUC